rnacentral:rRNA from 1 species
AUUGAACGCUGGCGGAAUGCUUUACACAUGCAAGUCGAACGGCAGCACGGACUUCGGUCUGGUGGCGAGUGGCGAACGGGUGAGUAAUGUAUCGGAACGUGCCCAGUCGUGGGGGAUAACGUAGUGAAAAUUACGCUAAUACCGCAUACGAUCUAUGGAUGAAAGCGGGGGAUCGCAAGACCUCGCGCGAUUGGAGCGGCCGAUAUCAGAUUAGGUAGUUGGUGGGGUAAAGGCCCACCAAGCCAACGAUCCGUAGCUGGUCUGAGAGGACGACCAGCCACACUGGAACUGAGACACGGUCCAGACUCCUACGGGAGUCAGCAGUGGGGAAUUUUGGACAAUGGGCGAAAGCCUGAUCCAACCAUUCCGCGUGCAGGAUGAAGGCCCUCGGGUUGUAAACUGCUUUUGUACAGAACGAAAAGGUUUCUACUAAUACUAGGAGCUCAUGACGGUACUGUAAGAAUAAGCACCGGCUAACUACGUGCCAGCCGCCGCAGUAA